GCUGCUAUAGACCCUGUAGUUCCAUUAAUCACCUGGUCUAGAGUGGCUGCUAUAGGCCCUGUAGUUCCAUUAAUCACCUGGUCUAGAGUGGCUGCUAUAGGCCGUGUAGUUCCAUUAAUCGCAGAUUGCUGUACUUUUUUGGAACACUAAUUGCCUCUGUAUCAGAACUGCAUUGACUGUUUUCCUGAAAAUAACAGUAAUCAUACAUUGUGUUUCCUGCUCUAGUCCACAUGGCUGUAGCUCUUUGCACUGACAGUAUCACGUGCAGAACUUGUAGUUUGUCUCAUUUGAUUAUAAUGACCUUUGGGUAGGUGUUUGUGGGUGAUGCAUCGAGAGCAUGGAGCCAAAGGCAUGUAGAAUCUCUUUCAACCAGGUGGAUGGAAUUCAACUAGUGUUUUCACAAUAGUACAAUAAAACCAAUAAUUUCAGUCGUUUUACAAGAUACCAAAACGUGUUUGAGGGAACAACAAUCAAGGUAAGUGAUAAGGUUGGAACUCCCCUUUACUAUCUCUCUAUCUGGGUUUUAGUGGGUUUGGUGGGGUGAAGUUAAGAUUUUAUAUUAAUUAAAUGUCCAUUCAGGUAUUCUGAUUCCAAAUUCUAUGGUGACAUGUACAGUAUAUGAAUAUGCAUGAUUUGAUGCAUUUGUUUACUGUGUUCUAUUGGUUCUAGAAUCUAGAUAGGUGUGUUCUAUUGGUUCUAGAAUCUAGAUAGGUGUGUUCUAUUGGUUCUAGAAUCUAGAUAGGUGUGUUCUAUUGGUUCUAGAAUCUAGAUAGGUGUGUUCUAUUGGUUCUAGAAUCUGGAUAGGUGUGUUCUAUUGGUUCUAGAAUCUGGAUAGGUGUGUUCUAUUGGUUCUAGAAUCUAGACAGGUGUGUUCUAUUGGUUCUAGAAUCUAGAUAGGUGUGUUCUAUGGGUUCUAGAAUCUAGAUAGGUGUGUUUUAUUGGUUCUAGAAUCUAGAUAGAUGUGUUCUAUUGGUUCUAGAUGCACGGGGGAGAGUGCUUGCAGAGGGUGAGAGAGACGUUUGGAGAGGAGUUAAUGUGGACCUGAUGAGCAAUGAGGAGGAUGACCUGCAAAACGGCAAACCAGCGUGGUUCGUCAAGCCCCCCUACUUCCGGAGUGAGGUGCUCCCUGCCCUUAGUCAAGAACCACAGAACCGCUUGGAGAGGGAUCAGAGCUACUUGGCGAGUCACACCACAUGGACCAUGUUUGUGGAAUUUUCAUGAAGACAACCUAUAUCCCACGGACCCCUUCAAACCUCAACUGUAUGGCGCCCCCAAUGGAGGCUGGCCCGGGACCAAGCUGGAGGACCCCUGUAUGGCGCCCCCAAUGGAGGCUGGCCCGGGACCAAGCUGGAGGACCCCUGUAUGGCGCCCCCAAUGGAGGCUGGCCCGGGACCAAGCUGGAGGACCCCUGUAUGGCGCCCCCAAUGGAGGCUGGCCCGGGACCAAGCUGGAGGACCCCUGUAUGGCGCCCCCAAUGGAGGCUGGCCCGGGACCAAGCUGGAGGACUCCUGUCAGUACUGCGCUUGAUUCUUUUGUUCCUCUUUAGAUUCUGAAUACGCCUGUUCAUAUUCCUUCCUGUGAGGUAUAUCCCCCGCCCCAGUAUAACCCAUGUAAACAGGUAGUGAUGUGUGGCUGCAGACUGAGAGGUCUCUGUUCAGUAAAGCGUUGACAACACAUGGAAAAGACUUCCUCCUCAUCCAGCAGAUGGUGAAGACGAAGUGUGUGUCUCAGUGUGUUGAAUUCUACUAUCUUUCCAAGAGACUUCCUGACAAACAGAGAAAACAGAGGGAGCAGGAACCAAUGAGUGUAAGGAGG